CUAACUGUCACAUUUGGCGGGGAAAAUAUGUUCAUCGGAAACCUGAGAUAUCGGAAACUAAAGGGAAAAAGUAUAGAGUUCAACAAAUGCCGGACUCCGGAAUUGGUUGACGAAAUAAAAGUACUGAGGAAACAAGCAACGAAGGAUAAGUUUUCCUUGAUCCUACAGGGUGAGAGAAAAGCCUCGAGAAUACUGUUUACUCAGGCUCAGCAGAUCACUCAACCCGGAGAUGUUGCCUCCAAAAAGGUAGCGCAAACGUGAAGCGCAACCGCCACCAUCGUCCCGGUCAGUUGGAACGGUCAAAUUAGCACGCACCGCCACAGAAAACACCAUAAUUACCGACAGUAUGCCGCACAAUUCAUAUGCCUCAAAAUGCUCCUCCAUGCACCACUAUAAACGACGAGCGUUCAUCAACAAAAUUGGAAGCCGUCGCGUGAGUCCAUCUGCAAUGGCCCUGAUUCCAUCACCAUUAAUUCUCAGCUCAUCUUCCAGCCUUCACCCAUGCACUACAAGGAGGAUCCAGUUCGACCAUCAGCAGAAAUGACAACUGCCGUCGGAACUCCCGAAGUUUGUAUAAUGCUAAUGCACCGUUAAUCGAACCCUUUCGACUGAGGAGGAACAGUGUCCGGUUUGUCUAGCUUAGUUCAUAAGAUUGUAUUUUGUCUGUUUGUUAAAAAACCCAAAAAUGAAUAAAAUAAG